rnacentral:rRNA from 2 species
AGGUAGUGACAAGAAAUAACAAUACAGGGCGAAUGUCUUGUAAUUGGAAUGAUGGUGACCCAAACCCUCACCAGAGUAGCAAUUGGAGGGCAAGUCUGGUGCCAGCAGCCGCGGUAAUUCCAGCUCCAAUAGCGUAUAUUAAACUUGUUGCAGUUAAAAAGCUCGUAGUUGUAUUUUUGCGUUGACGGUUUGACCAUUUGGUUGGUUAUUUCGUUUUCGCUUUUGGGAAUUUCCCUUUUUACUUUGAGAAAAUUAGAGUGUUUCAAGCAGACUUUUGUCUUGAAUACUUCAGCAUGGAAUAAUAGAGUAGGACUUUGGUUCUAUUUUGUUGGUUAUUGAACCUUAGUAAUGGUUAAUAGGAACG